rnacentral:lncRNA from 1 species
CACAGGCUCCUUCCUGUGCUAUGUUUCUUACCUCCCUGACCUCUGUGUGUGCGAGCAGACCUAUAAAACCCUUGAAGAGCAGUUCAGCUCUGCUGCUCAGCUGCACUGUAGAAAGCUGGUGCUUCUGCAAAGUGUAACAAUGGCAACAAAAAGCAGAGUGGAGCAGGACUUAAACUCUUCUGACAUCAUGGCUGGAUCUGUGAGAAUUCUCACCACCAGCAAGCAAUCAAUGGCCAAUUGCCGUUUUAAUGCUUUCUCCAGGAUCUUGGUGAAAGUCAGACACACUUCAGGGCAUCCGCCUUAACUUCCUCCACG